rnacentral:rRNA from 1 species
UACGUAGGCAGCGAGCGUUUGUUCGGAAUUAUUGGGCGUAAAGAGCGUGUAGGCGGCCUGAAAGGUCAGCUGUGAAAACUCGAGGCUCAACCUCGAGACGUCGGUUGAAACCAUCUGGCUAGAGUCCGGAAGAGGAGUGUGGAAUUCCCGGUGUAGCGGUGAAAUGCGCAGAUAUCGGGAAGAACACCCGUGGCGAAGGCGGCUCUCUGGGACGGUACUGACGCUGAGACGCGAAAGCGUGGGGAGCGAACAGG